UCCUGAUUUUGAAUCAGAAUCUCCUUUCUUGCAACUUGAAGCCAUUGGUUCAGCCCCUACCCUCCAGAGCAGCUUGCCCCAUCUUCCAUGAGACAGCCCUUUAGAUAUUUGAAGAUUGCUAUCAUAUUUCCUCUCAGCCUCCUCUUUUCCAAGCUAAACAUACCCAACUCCCUCAA